GGCUGCAGCGUUCUUCAGCCCCAGGAGCAAAUUGCCGUGUCAGGACUUUGAUCCUGAUGGAACUCAGGUGGGCCCCACCCUUUCCGCAGCCGUCUGUGUUUUGUGGGGGAAACAGGCAUUGCCAGGGGGUUGUCUUCCUGCCCCCCACACCCAGCUCUGUAGAUCCGAAGUGGCCGUGGUGACCAGGGACGGGCAGUCCCGGAGGCUGAGAGCUGCAGUGAGCUGGGGACAGGGUGGUGGCCCAGGCCGGGCUCCUCUCUUGGCGCUGGUUCCCUGGGCGGGUGGCCAGGACUCCCCCCUCCCCUAGACUCUUGCCCAGACCUGGGGCCCAAGGAAAAAGGAGAGAGCUGCCAGGCAGUUGCCAAGGAGACAAGAAACCGUCUCAGAUUGGAGGAGACUAAGGAGACGUGACAACAAAACACAGGGAGGGAUCCCGCAUCACAGAAACGGCACGAGGGGGAAAACUCGGGAGUCUGAGCGAAGUCUGCAGGAUCGGAAACCAGAGUCGCACAGAGCUCAGACGACACUUGGAGACGACGCAGUCUGAACGCCAUCCUCUCAGAGGAGCAAGCUGAGGCCUGGGGAGGCUCCAAAUAUUUGCCCAGGUCCCGCGGCUGGUGCGUGCCAUCCGCCUCGUGCCCUCCUGGAAGCCCUGCCGUGGGGACUGACGAGGUACUGGGCGCAGCACCCUCGCCAGGCGGCUGUUAGAUUGACUGCACGGCUUCCCAGGGUCACAGCAGCCAGUGGAGAAGAGAGGAAUCCAACCCAGGUCCGCCUGCUUCCCAAAUCCGUGCUCUUUCGAUGCUCAGCUUGGCCGUAUCAAUAACCGACUGUUCUAUGAAAUAAAAAUGCCUCCGUUGUAAGAAAAACGUGGCCUGGUGUCUUCUACACAAGGAGCAGCCGUGGCGCUGCCCUCGGCCUCCACGUGUGAGGCCUGAGCUCCCCUCUCCAGCGUCUCUUUCUUGC
rnacentral:lncRNA from 1 species